rnacentral:rRNA from 1 species
GACGAACGCUGGCGGCGUGCUUAACACAUGCAAGUCGAACGGAGUGGCGAACGGGUGAGUAACACGUGGGUGAUCUGCCUUGCACUUCGGGAUAAGCCUGGGAAACUGGGUCUAAUACCGGAUAGUGCAAGAGGAGCUCGCGGCCUAUAAGCUGGUUGGUGGGGUAAUGGCCUACCAAGGGGUCGACGGGUAGCCGGCCUGAGAGGGUGUACGGCCUCAUUGGGACUGAGAUGCGUGCCGUACUCCUACGGUAGGCAGCAGGGGGGAAUAUUGCACAAUGGGCGGAAGCCUGAUGCAGCGACGCCGCGUGGGAGAUGAAUGCCUUCGGGUUGUAAACUCCUUUCGGCAGGGACGCGGUACCUGUAUAAGAAGCACCGGCUAACUACGUGCCAGCAGCCGCGGUAAUAC